rnacentral:lncRNA from 1 species
CAUAUGGCAAGAGUUGCAUAUGUGAGUGAGGAAGGCCAGAUGUACAGACCUUAUAUAGUGGGGACAGACCCCACUAUAAAUUGGGGCUCAUUUCAGGAUCAAGAAUACUCUUGGGAAAUUUAUUUAGACUUUUUUUCUGGUGAAUGGAAUGGAAGGUUCAUUUUUAUUUUUCAAGAGUGAUUUCCUGUAUGGUAAAUAUGAAAGCCAAGAAGUCCGUUGUUUGAUGGUCACCAUCUUGCCACUCCCCUCCUUUUAUUAAAUCAGAAUCCUGAUUUCC